rnacentral:rRNA from 1 species
GGGUAGUUUGACUGGGGCGGUCUCCUCCUAAAGAGUAACGGAGGAGCACGAAGGUUGGCUAAUCCUGGUCGGACAUCAGGAGGUUAGUGCAAUGGCAUAAGCCAGCUUGACUGCGAGCGUGACGGCGCGAGCAGGUGCGAAAGCAGGUCAUAGUGAUCCGGUGGUUCUGAAUGGAAGGGCCAUCGCUCAACGGAUAAAAGGUACUCCGGGGAUAACAGGCUGAUACCGCCCAAGAGUUCAUAUCGACGGCGGUGUUUGGCACCUCGAUGUCGGCUCAUCACAUCCUGGGGCUGAAGUAGGUCCCAAGGGUAUGGCUGUUCGCCAUUUAAAGUGGUACGCGAGCUGGGUUUAGAACGUCGUGAGACAGUUCGGUCCCUAUCUGCCGUGGGCGCUGGAGAACUGAGGGGGGCUGCUCCUAGUACGAGAGGACCGGAGUGGACGCAUCACUGGUGUUCGGGUUGUCAUGCCAAUGGCACUGCCCGGUAGCUAAAUGCGGAAGAGAUAAGUGCUGAAAGCAUCUAAGCACGAAACUUGCCCCGAGAUGAGUUCUCCCUGAGACUUAGAGUCUCCUGAAGGAACGUUGAAGACGACGACGUUGAUAGGCCGGGUGUGUAAGCGCAGCGAUGCGUUGAGCUAACCGGUACUAAUGAACCGUGAGGCU